rnacentral:rRNA from 1 species
UACAGAGGGGGCAAGCGUUGUUCGGAAUUACUGGGCGUAAAGGGCGCGUAGGCGGCCUUCUAAGUCGAACGUGAAAUCCCCGGGCUCAACCCGGGAACUGCGUCCGAUACUGGAAGGCUUGAAUCCGGGAGAGGGAUGCGGAAUUCCAGGUGUAGCGGUGAAAUGCGUAGAUAUCGGAAGGAACACCGGUGGCGAAAGCGGCGCGCUGGAUCUCUUCUGACGCUGAUGCGCGAAAGCCAGGGGAGCAAACGGG